GACGAACGCUGGCGGCGUGCUUAACACAUGCAAGUCGAACGCUGAAGCCCUUCGGGGUGGAUGAGUGGCGAACGGGUGAGUAACACGUGGGUAAUCUGCCCUGCACUCUGGGAUAAGCCUUGGAAACGGGGUCUAAUACCGGAUAGGACACAUCGCCGCAUGGUGUGUGUGUGGAAAGUUCCGACGGUGCAGGUUGAGCCCGCGGCCUAUCAGCUUGUUGGUGGGGUGAUGGCCUACCAAGGCGACGACGGGUAGCCGGCCUGAGAGGGUGACCGGCCACACUGGGACAGAGACACGGCCCAGACUCCUACGGGAGGCAGCAGUGGGGAAUCUUGCGCAAUGGGCGAAAGCCUGACGCAGCAACGCCGCGUGGGGGAUGACGGCCUUCGGGUUGUAAACCUCUUUCGACCGGGACGAAGGAUUCGUUUGACGGUACCGGUAGAAGAAGCACCGGCUAACUACGUGCCAGCAGCCGCCGUAA
rnacentral:rRNA from 1 species